ensembl:lncRNA
AUAACCUCUGAAGUCUCUCAGACAUGCUUCCUUAAGAGAGCCUGGAAACAUCGUCUUCGGUGCCUUGGGCAGUUCUUUGAAUGGAGGAAGUGAUUGGAAGUUUGUGGUUGCUGGUACCUGAUAACGUUAGUAAAUACGAUCAUGAAGAUGGUGAUGAAGAUGGCUAAUGUUCCGAGCGUUCACUGUGCACCUGGCUCCCUAUUUCGUGCAUUAAGUCAUCACCGCUCUAAAGAAAUAUGUAGUGUCCAAUGGGGCAAGCAGUUCUGGCAUGGAGACUCUAGUUGUGACCCGAUCAUCCUCACUCACAGCCUGUGUGGUUAAAUCCAAGAUACCUGACGCUCUAUCAUGCAAAAAUCUUGUGGAGAUCAGACUGCCUGCCUCCUGCCUGUUGCCUGUGCACAUCCAAUUAUCUUCAAGUAAAACUUCAGUUGAAAAAAGGAGUGGUGGGAGCACUAUUAAACCAGAGAGCCCAUGACCUUUUGAACAGGCAAUGACAACGGAAACUAAAAAAAGAAUGUUGCCAUGCUUGCAACCCCAAAUAACAAGCACUUCCCCCAGACUAACCAACCCUCCGACCAAGAAAUAAAAAUGACCGAUCCCUGGUCUACCCACUUAAGCUGUCAAUUUUUUUUUUUUUAA